UGAGCACUGAAGCAGGAGCUGCUGAUGCAAAGUGUGUGUGUGUGUGUGUGUGUGUGUGUGUGUGUGUGUGUGUGUGUGUGUGUGUAGGAGGUUUUUGUACGGUGGUUUCAUUAGAACGCAUCACUGUGGUACACUUUUGGUGGAGGCUCCAAACUUGUUAUUAACACGAGUCCUACAGUGAAGCCCACUGUGUCUCUGCUCCCUCAGUCCCCCCUGCAGUCGUGUGAUGGCUCGCUGCUCUGCCUGCUGUCUGACUACUCUCCACAGGGGGCGCUGGUGAGCUGGACGGUGGACGGCUCAGAGGUGAAGAAUGGGGUUCUGACCAGUGCAGAAGAACUGAAGAACGGCCGUUACAGCCGCAUAAGCACCCUGACCCUCAGCAAAGAUCUCUGGGGAAAAGGGGAGGAGUUUAUCUGUAAGGUCUCCCAUAGCAACGCCAUUCAUCCAGUCACGUUCAGAAAGAGUCAGUGUGAAGACUAGAGGAUCCAAGAUAGAGUUUAACAUCGAGCUGCUUCUGAUCUACACACUGCUGAUGUUUCUGUAUUUCCUCUCGUCACUGUGCUGUUGCUCUUCCUGUAGUUUCUGCUGAAAUAAAGCUGAGUUUUGGA